rnacentral:rRNA from 1 species
UACGGAGGGUGCGAACGUUAAUCGGAAUCACUGGGCGUAAAGCGCGCGUAGGCGGCUUGUUAAGUGGGAUGUGAAAUCCCCGGGCUUAACCUGGGAAUUGCAUUUCAAACUGGCCGACUAGAGUACGGUAGAGGGAGGUAGAAUUUCCUGUGUAGCGGUGAAAUGCGUAGAUAUAGGAAGGAAUACCAGUGGCGAAGGCGGCCUCCUGGAUCGAUACUGACGCUGAGGCGCGAAAGCGUGGGGAGCAAACAGG